AUUGCUUUCAGACUUAACUGAGUGCCCUGGAAUUUUAUUUGCUAAAUCAAUGCUGCGCAGAGCGGACUGGAGACUGAGCACUCACAUGAAACGCUUUGCUGCCCAUCAGGAGCUACGCGCUUACUAGGAUCUUUGCCCUGAGAUGUGCACCUCCACCAUGGCGACCAGUGUCAUCAGGGCGCUGCCCUGACCAGCAACCCAGGCAGGUGAAGGAGAAGGCGACCUCGGCCUGCAGAGUGGGGUUCGCUGACCAUGCUGGGGGCACCUCAAGUCUUAGCCUUUGAUGCUUCCACCUUUAAGCCCCCUAAAUACUUGAUAAGAAAAUCAGACUUCACCCUUUGUUUGUUAAAAAUCACAUAGUUCAUGUCCUGCACCCAGUUUCUUCCACUCUGGUGCCCAUGUCCAGAUCUGUUCCUCUCAAACAUUAACCUGCUAGACCCCUCAAGGUUACAUAACGCCUGUCAGAUUUAACUUCACGACCAGCAGCCGUCCGCAGUGAACCAUCUGAGCAGUGCUCGCUCCCUUUUCAUUUCCCCUCGCCUCCUUCUUAAGUGUAUUUCUCUCUAUUCUUCAAUGGGUUAUUAAUUCAAACUGACGAAACUAUAUAAAUUAAAAAAAAAAAAGACAGAAAGAAAGAAAAAAUCAGGAAAACAGACACUCCAAACUCGGCCUCUGCUGAUCUUGGGGCUGAUGCCAGGCCCGAAUCCCCUUGUGAUUCUGUGGCUAAGAAGCCAGGAAGAGGGUAGUGUCCUCGUGGGCCACGUAGGGAACCAUGGUGAGUGGU
rnacentral:lncRNA from 1 species